UCAUUUAACCCAGCAUGAUUUUCAAGGCAUAAUUCAAUACGAGGCUUCUGUCCAGGAGCUGUUUCUCCACCUUGCACCUGAGUUGAUCCUUUCUUCCAUGCAAUCAAUUUUAGAAAUUCUCUUAAUACUGAUAUUGGCAAGGUGAGAAGAGUGAUGAAUGAUGCAACACGAGAUGCAUCAUAGGGUUCUGAUGCUACACGGCGACUGAAAUAAUCACACAUCUCUCCUAUUUCAGAUUGAGUUAGUUCUUCUUGAGAAGUCACAGAGUUCUGUUGCUGUUGUUGCUGCUGCUGAUGAUGAAAGCGCUUAACACUGAGAACCUGAAGAAGAAGUUGAACUCUGUGGACACUUACAGCAAAUACAUAGCCUCCCACAAAGAAGCGCAAGGCUGGUUGUUCCUGGUCCAAAUUCAAGAGUGCACCUUCAUUGUC
rnacentral:misc_RNA from 1 species